rnacentral:rRNA from 1 species
UACGAAGGGAGCUAGCGUUGUUCGGAAUCACUGGGCGUAAAGCGCACGUAGGCGGAUUUGUAAGUCAGGGGUGAAAGUCCCGGGGCUCAACCUCGGAACUGCCUUUGAUACUGCAAAUCUCGAGUCCGAUAGAGGUGGGUGGGAAUUCCUAGUGUAGAGGUGAAAUUCGUAGAUAUUAGGAAGAACACCGGUGGCGAAGGCGGCCCACUGGAUCGGUACUGACGCUGAGGUGCGAAAGCGUGGGGAGCAAACAGG